AAACCCCCCCACACAUCACGCCCUCACCCCUCCCCGUCGCGUCUUCAACCCCCGCCGGCGCCGAGUGCGCCGCUCGUCGCGCCGCCCACAUCCACGGUGAGACCCUCUGGAUCUGGCAGUCUCCGAUCCCCAUCACCGUACCCCGCCUCCGCCUCACCGCAAUGUCACCCGAUUCCGCGCCGCCAGUUCACCGUCGCCCGGAUUGACCACCGUCCCCCGCCUCUCCACCGCGCCGAUCUCCUCCGCGACUCCCACCGCCGCCGCCGCCGCUUCUCUUGGUUCUCGAUUUUGGUUUGGUUUGCUCCGGAUUUCUUGAGUCGGGGAGGCCGGGAGGGGAUUCGUCUCGUGAUUUUCUUUGUCUAUUGUUUGAUUGAUCUACCUAUUCAGGAAAAUGAUCGAGGCAAUCGACGAGUACAGCGCCGAAGAUCCGCUCCAACCAUGGCUAGAGAGGGGAUUGCUCAAGUCGGCUGGUGGUGAUCUACGACCAGACGACGACCUCUACAAGAAGGAUCUCCGCUACCUCAAAGUGUGACUGGAAUAUGUGAGUUCAUGAAUUCAGAUUUGGUUCUGAGGUGGAUUGGUUUGGUUUCCUUUUGACAUCCAGCUUGUGUUUAUCUUUUCAUGCAUGACGGCGGGGAAUUGUGCUGAUUCCUGGAGGCUAACCCGAUCAGUCAGAGCCAUACCAAUUACUACUUGUGUAAUGCGUUGGUAAUAUAUUGAACCACAGGGUAGGUAUGCUUGCAUUUUCUCCCGAGGGAAAACUCAAAUAGUCUCAAAUUUAGCUUACAAAACAGGAAUUGAAGAUCUAUGAUUUCUCCAUUUUUCUUUAAAUUAAAAUCUGUUUUGCAGUUAUGAGAAAACAAGGCCAUUUGUUAUUCUUAUGUACGAGUACAACGCUUUGGCAGCAAAUUUCUUUACUUACAGUUUCACAUCUUACUUGGAGUGCACUGUAUAGAAAAAUAUGAUUCAGAUUGCAUUUCCCAUUAAGUAUACGCUUCAAUAAGCAAUUGCGAGGGAUGACCUUUGCAUCCUUCUAGCUAUUUAUUUUCCACUUAAGUUCUAUGGAGUAUCACAUCAUGUGUCAGUUUUUGAUGGCAUGCCAUCGACGAAGCCAGUCGUGCCUUCUGCUUGAACACAAUGGACAUUGCCUCCCCACUUGAACAGACCAAAUCUGGAACCUCUGCCUUCAUGGACUUCACAGCUCGACAAUUCCAUUCUCCAAAAUCUGUUGUACAGAGCAACAAGUGCAAGACAUCACCCUUAAUGUUCAAAUAUAUUAUGCAAUAUAGCCUGAUCACUUAAUGUUCAAAUGUGCUCAAGCAAAGUUCCUGCAGUUGCUAUUUUAGAGAUGUGCAAGAGAUAGAAUCCCAAAUUCUAGAAUUGAGGUCAUGUCCAUGCUGCAAUAUCCUGAAAACAAAAUCAGAAUAUUACCUUCUUGUAUUUGUUCUCUGUAGGAACAUGGGCCAUUUCGCUAACCCGAAAUGAUUGGGUGUUAAAAACAAAUUGCUUUCAGAUAUUGCAUUUGCCUUAUAGAGUUGUUUCCCUUUUGCAACAAUGGAGACCUUUCAUCCCUUCGAAACUGGCAGGGUACUUGGAUGCUUUAAAGGGAUUCUUGCUUGCCAAAAUUCACGAGAUGUGAGGAUCAAGUCUCAACUAAUGAUCAAGAAGAUGGAUUUUCCAACUAGCUAUAAGUAUCCAGCGGUUCUGCAACUGUUUGCUAUCAUUUUUGUGCCGAGAUGGAAUGUUCCCUAGAGAGAUAGCUUAGGUUAGCUAUCCAGCGGUUCUGCAACUGUUUGCUAUCAUUUUUGUGCCGAGAUGGAACGUUCCCUAGAGAGAUAGCUUAGGUUAGCUUGUUCCUUUGUUCUGUAACUCAGACUGGCUUGUUCU
rnacentral:lncRNA from 1 species